GAGCCAACGUCUCAAGCCAACGUCACACUGACAUCAAAUACUGAUAUUAAGAUGUCAGGUAUGGCAACCAAAAUCCAACGUUAUCUAGACGUCAUAAUGGCAACGUCCAAACAACGUCAAAUUAAAACAUCAUUUGACGUUGAUUUGUAGUUAUUUUAGGUUGUGGCAUUAACUAACCAAAAUCCAACAUCAAGACAAUGUCUCAAUCCAACGUCAGAUUGACAUCAAAUACUGAUAUUUAGUCGUCAGGUAUGGCAACCAUAAUCCAACGUUUUCUAGACGUCAUAAUGGCAACGUCCACACAACGUCCAAUUAAAACAUCAUUUGAUGUUGAUCUGUAGUUAGUUUUAGGUUGUGGCAUUAACUAACCAAAA